rnacentral:lncRNA from 1 species
GGAGAGUUCAUCGACUUCCUCUCUUUCUUAUGAUAAAGAAGUAGCUGAUGAUGUCGCCGAGAGAUCACCAGAAUAAGAGCAGGCUGCAGCGACGGAAAGUGACAAAACAACUAGCUCUUCAGAAAAAGGUUGAGUAAAGUACACCAAUAACCGGGGAGCAAGCCCCGAGAGGUCAUCUUCCCCUAAUAGGGAUAUUUCUUCGGCAGCAGGAGAACAUACCAUAUCUGCUACAAGAAGCGAAACUGACCCUAGUAUGCCG